rnacentral:rRNA from 1 species
AUGAACGCUGGCGGCGUGCCUAAUACAUGCCAGUCGCGCGAACAGACGAGGAGCUUGCUCCUCUGACGUUAGCGGCGGACGGGUGAGUAACACGUGGAUAACCUACCUAUAAGACUGGGAUAACUUCGGGAAACCGGAGCUAAUACCGGAUAAUAUAUUGAACCGCAUGGUUCAAUAGUGAAAGACGGUUUUGCUGUCACUUAUAGAUGGAUCCGCGCCGCAUUAGCUAGUUGGUAAGGUAACGGCUUACCAAGGCAACGAUGCGUAGCCGACCUGAGAGGGUGAUCGGCCACACUGGAACUGAGACACGGUCCAGACUCCUACGGGAGGCAGCAGUAGGGAAUCUUCCGCAAUGGGCGAAAGCCUGACGGAGCAACGCCGCGUGAGUGAUGAAGGUCUUCGGAUCGUAAAACUCUGUUAUUAGGGAAGAACAAAUGUGUAAGUAACCAUGCACGUCUUGACGGUACCUAAUCAGAAAGCCACGGCUAACUACGUG